rnacentral:rRNA from 1 species
GUUUGCAGUGUACCAGCCAUAUAACCACAGGCUAUACUCAUCAAAUUUCCAAGCUAAACAAGGUUGGACUGGGUCAGUUUUUGGUUGGGAGACCUCCAAGGAAAAGCCAGAGUACUGAAAAAC